AAGAAAUCUAGAUGAAACCAAUACAGAGAAGCGAAGUGUGUAUACAAAUCAGGAAGUCCCGACAGGUAUUAUACUCACUUUAAAAAUAAAAAUAAGUUUUCAGCGACGUUCAAAUGUGUUAAGAGACUUAUCGUGCUUACUUUAGUCAAAAAUAAAUAUCUUGUUUUCUGCGUAAAUGCAUGUUGAUAAAUAUUAGUCGCUCGUCAUACUCGCGGGUCAAUGUUGGAAAUCAAAGUAAAAAACAACAACCCAAAAUCAUCUAUACACAUGUACAAAUCAUCACCUGUAUCCUUCGAUGGUUUGAAACUCAGGUAAUUUGUUAAUAGGCCAAAAUAAUCUCAAAUUUAUCUGAACUAUCAUAAUUUCGAAUGAUAUUUUGGACAAUCAUACCAAUACAGCUUGCUCAGGUCAAUAAAUUGCGUAUAGAUUAUUGAAAAGGGUGGUUAAUGUAUCUUUUUUUCAACCUUAACAAGGUUUUCUUGAACAAACACUCUCUAAUUGAACCGAAAACAAAAAGUAAAAUCACAAAAAUACUGGACUCCGAGGAAUAUUCAAUAAACUGAAUGUCUCUAAUCAAAUGUCAAAAUCAAAUGCAAAUAAAUGGAUAACAACUGUCAUAUCUCGACUUGGUACAUACAUUUUCAUACGUGUACGCAGAAAAUGGUGGAUUAAACGUGGUCUUAUAGCCUUAUAUACCUCUUACUACAAGAAAGUGUAGUUUCCAGUUAUAAUUAAUAAUAUUUUUACUGUUUUGUCUGUUUGAUGGGAUAUUCAUUUGACGUGGUUCGGUACUUAUACAUCCCGUCAAUGGGUAUGUAUUAUCUUUCAUUUUUGCUGGUGUGUAUUGUAUAUUCGACUUUUUGUGGUUCUUUGUUUCUUAUAAUGUGACUCUGUACUUUUAAGAAUCCCGACAUUAUGUUAUUGUUCUAUUAUAUGGCAGUAUGUUAUUGUUCUAUCGUAAAUUUGAAGAUACUUUGAACGACAAACGACAGAAUUAUUUCGUGUUAGUAGUAUUAACCAGAAAUUGAUUCUUAAAGAACUGCUGGAUAAUUUGUUAUCUCGGUCUGUUUCUGUAAUUAAUUCUAACAUAGCUUUUGAUUUAAAACCCUGCAUACCACCAUUCUCCAUGUGCAAUUAUGUUUGUUUUGAAUAGACAUUGAACGACAAACUUUCUUUUUUGUGAUGUUUGUAUUUUCUGACACCCAUCACGCAAAACUAAGAAUGUGUUUUUUUUUUAAUUUGAUAGAUGCUUUUUGUGUUUUUUUGUAUAUGUUUGUUUGUCUUGCGAUUGUAUUACACAGUGAUGACUAUUGUAACCAUAUUUUGACUAUUUUACAAAUUUUAAGAAAGAAGCCUGUUUUGUUCACGCAGCGUUAUAAAAAUAAUGGAAAAUGAUGAGACUGUCAUAACAGAGUGCUAUACAACCAGGUCCAAUCCUGGUUUUAGCGCUAUACAAUCAGGUUUAAUCCACCAUUUUCUACAUUUGAAAAUGCCUGUACCUAGUCCGGAAUAUGACAGUUGUUUUUCAUUCAUUUGAUGUGUUUUAUCGUUGUUCUCCUCUUAUAUUUAAUGCGUUUCCCUCAGUUUUAGUUUGUUUUCCCCGAUUUUGUUUUUUGUCCAUAGAUUUACGAUUUUUGAACAGCGGUAUACUACUGCUGCCUUUAUUUAUCCUUUGAUUUUGCUAUUUGAUUAGGGACUUUCCAAUUUGAAUUUUCCUCGGAGUUUAUUAUUUUGGUGAUUUUCCUUGUUUCCAGUUUAGGCAAAUUGUUUAAUGAGUGUACACAUUGUAUCGUAGACAUUAUAUAUUACUAACAUUACUGUAAGUAGGAAGGCAAGUAUAUAUUCAUCAAAUAUGGCACCAAUGUUUUUAUUUUGUAUAUUGCAGAUCAUUCCACUGUUCAAUCUACUAGCAGGUAAUUUCCUUAUUUCUGCAUUGUUGGUAAAUAGUUCUGACCUCCUAUUUAAUUUCGUAUGUAAAUAAAUCAUGAUUAUUAACGAACAAAAUAUUUUCAAAUAAGGAUACAUUAUUAGAAACUUACCAUUUUAUUUGUUUUUAUUUGUAGGAAAUGAGCUUCGAAUCUGCAAAAUUGUUUUAUUAAAAAAAUAGUUAAUCAAAAUAUAUUCUCAUUUACAAUAAAUAUAUGUACAAAAGAUUCAGUUUUUAGUAUAAUAAUUCCACAUGAUUUAAAAAAAGUCCUUUCAAGGAAUUAAGGAAUAUUUGAUAUACGGAAAAUAUACCUUGCGACAGACGUUUUCAUGAUACCUGUUUUAUUAUACUCAAUUGAAUAUUUUCUUAAGUAAAUGUUUGGAAAAACCAUGAAAUUAGAAAAUAUAACGUUUCUGCACAAAGAAAAAUCCCUUUAAAAUCUGUCCGUAAGUUACCUGUUUUUAUGACAUUUUGUAACCGUAUCUAACAUGUAUAAGUCAUCAUGUUGGAAGGAAUUUUCAUCGUCCCUCUCAUCAAUGCAAAUAUGCAAAAACAAGUAAUCUUAUAAACUUUCCAUUUAAUUGAUUAUUAUUGGACAUUAAACAGACACCAAUCAAGUAUUAUUUUAUUUCUUUGUAGAAUAGAUUCAGAACACAUUUUUGAUACAAAUUCAUACGAGGAAAUGAGUACAGAAACAAAAGGUAAGUAUCCCAUUUUGUUUACUUUCCUAACAUUGUGUCAAAGUAUCCCAUUUCAUCUUUUUGUUUACUUUCCUAACGUUGUGUCAAAGUAUCCCAUUUCAUCUUUUUGUUUACUUUCCUAACGUUGUGUCAAAGUAUCCCAUUUCACCUUUUUGUUUAAUUUCCUAACGUUGUGUCAAAGUAUCUCAUUUCAUCGUUUUGUUUACUUUCCUAACGUUGUGUAAAAGCUUAACACAUUUUAGUAUGAGUAUUGGUUAACACAAAUUAUCUCGUACCUCCUGUUGCUGUAAAAAAAAAAUCCGAAUUGAUACAAAGCGUGCAAUAUAAAGAUGGAGUUAUCUUUUGGGCAAACAAGUAGAAUGAUAAAUUUUAUAUAAAAUAUUCUUAAUUUUAAGGUUAUUAGACACCGAUUGAAUGCAAUCGUUAACUGUUCCUUCAAAUACCAUAUGUAUAUUUUGAAUGGAACAGCUAUAGCAGUUAUUUUUGCAGUAUUAUAGACUUGAAAAAAAAGCCCACAACACAUCGUUGAAAUGCAUGCUACGACAAAAAACAUAAAUAUGGGAGAACAGAAAUGGGAGAAAAACGCAACAGAUCAACCCCUACAACUGAACGUAAAAUAAAUAGACAUACAAUAAACACAAAGCAACAAAUUGUUCAUAUAAUUUGACUUAUAAAGUACAUAGUUUAUAGAUGUUGAACAAGUUUAUCAUACAUUACCCUCUGACUAAACUUUUUAAGAACACUUUCUGUAAAUUAAAAGACACAAAAAAAAAGCAACCUGCAAAAUGCAGCUAUUUACAGCGUAAAUAAUUACUUGAACAAGGAAAUACAAAAUAUGGUUGAAACUUUGAAAACCUUGGUCGGAAUAUACUUGCUACAUUACAUUUGUAACAACCUUGCUUCCAUUACAGCAAGUUGUUGUAUAGUGACAAUAAAGAGUAGUAGAAAUUAAAAAAUGUUCAAUUUGGAAAUAUACACUUAUAUGCGUAGGUAUGAAUCAGUAUCUUUAUAUUUUAUUUUAACUUUUAGUUACGACACCAAUUGAGUAAGUACACUUUUAACUUAAAUUGGAAAAUUGUCAUGCAAAAUUGAUCACGAAUAUCAAUUUUACAAUUUUCUGUGUAUCACAAUGAUAUAUAAAUGUUCUCUUUUUUACCGUUGUUACCAUUGUCGUUAAUAUGUAAUGUUUAUGAUUUAGAAAGUAAGUUUAUGUCAGAAAUACUUAUUGACAGCUAGGUUUCUAUGGUUUGUGGAGGCAUUGCAUGUGCUUCGUGCGAGAUCGAUUUCCUCUUAAUAGUUUGAGAACUAUUUUACACGAAAUAUAUUAAAUAUUCAAAUGUCGAUUAUAUGCUCAUGAUCCUGUACUUGUUUUUGGAGUGUCCAUCGUAAAAUAAUUUUAUAACGACAAUAUGUAAGGAUUACAGUGUGAAUAAAAACAUUUUCUUAAAUAAUAAAUUGAUAUAUUUGUAAAAAAAACAUUUAGCGGGUUUUAUGAUUAUAAAUUACUAGUCCAUGAAUGUUUAGUUCGAAUAAAAAACAAUAAAUUUUACAGAAAACCACCAAGGGCACACUUAUCCGACAGUAAUACUCAACUUUAUGAAUCAAUGAAAGCGCGUGAAUGUCGUAAGUAUGUUUACUAUUUAAGCAUGCAUUGAUUAACUUAAAUCUUAAUCACAUUUUAUAUAUAUAUAUAAAAGGAAGAUGUUGUAUGAUUGCUAAUGAGACAACUGUCCACAAGGGACCGAAAUGACACGGACAUUAACAACUAUAGGUCACCGUACGACCAUCAACAAUGAGAAAAGCCCAUACCGCAUAGUCAGCUAUACAAGGCCCCGAUAUGACAAUGUAAAACAAUUCAAACGAGAAAAAAACGGCCUUAUUUAGAUAAAAAAAAAAUGAACGAAAAACAAAUAUUUACCACAAAAAAAAACGACAACUACUGAAUAACAGACUCCUGACUUAGGACAGGCACAUACAUAAAUAAUGUGGCGGGGUUAAACAUGUUUUCGGGAUCCCAGCCCUCCCCUAACCUGGGACAGUGGUAUAACAGUACAACAUAAGAAUGAACUAUAAAAAUCAAUAAAAAAGGCUUCACUCAUCAGAUGGACAUAUAUACAAGUUGACGUGAAAUGUUUAAAUUUCAUAUGCCUAAUUUUGUCAUUCAAAUAUAUGUAAUGCUUUACUUAUGAUCAUUUAACUUACUGGAAAGCAAUUAUAAAACAGAUCCAAACUUUCAUUUUAAUUAUGAGCAAAGGUGACAAAUAACAUACACUGUUAUAAAUUCAAAGAUUAUGUACUGAGUGCUAUUAUAAUUACAACUUAAACCUGUAUGUUCCUUUACAUAGAUAUUAACACUACGAGAGUUCUUUUAAACAUGGAAACGAUAAUUUUAUGUUCUAUUGCAUCAGACAUAUCUUUCUGGGAUUUCCUUCACAAGGAAUGUUGAUACCCUAAAAAAAUUAUAACCCAGGAUGUAUAACUUUUGAAUAUGUAAAGAGCUAGAUAGUUGACAAAUCGAUCUUAAUUUUUAGCAGAAGUCGUAUCAUCUGAAAAAGACAAUAAUACGCUAUGAACGUUCGUGAUGAAGUUUUUGUUACUGCAAAGCGCUUUGAAGGCAUCACAUUUAUUGAGUGUUGUUUUCGUUUGGUUGAAGCAAUUGUCUAAGGCUUUUUGGUUUUUCAUAUGCUUUUAAUGUUUGCCAUUUUCAAUUUUUAAAUUCAAAUUAUUGUUAAAUGUUCAAUUGUGUAUUUUUAUUUACUUCUGUAGCUAGUGGCCUCAUGUAUAUUUAACGAAUGUUUAUUUUCCAAUGUACACUGUAUACAACGAAGUCAUUCCAUCUUUUACAAUAAUGCAUAUCUCUUAAAAGUGAUACAAUAUUUUAAAUAUAACUUUCAUAACAAAUAUAAGCAAACGAUCGUACUAAUUUUUUAUUCUUUAAAUUUAAGAAAAUUCUUUAAAAUCAGACCAAGGCAGGUAAGUAAAUUCGUAAUAAUCUCAUUUGCAUCCUCCGUGUUAUACCGAUACUAGAAAUCAAUCAACGCAAUUGAUGUUUAAGAUGAUACUAUGAAAACCGAUAUAUACUAUUCAUGAUGUAUGUUAAAAAAAAAACCAAGAAAUUAAUUUCCUGCAAAACACUAGUCACACUAAAAGAUACCAGGCAUCUAAUCUAGAAAUAUUUGUUUGGAAAAUCACUGAUGGCGUCCAUUUCGGAAGUAUUGAAAACCAAAAACUAAAAACAUUAUACAAAAUCUCCUUUAGUCUAUGUAUACAUACAUGUAUGCACUAGGUAAACAUUACCUUAAUUUUUCGGACGGUUUGAACAUUUAAUAAACAGUUACUAACAGCAAAUAAAAGGUAUUACAUGUUUAUUAUGCAUUUCAAGCGACUGAUUCCAACGUAUGCAAAACGGACACUACUAACGGCCCAUGAGUUAGAGAAAAAUCAUCAAAGAUGACAUGUUUGAUAUUUUAACAAUACACGAAACAGAAAAAAGGAACAGUUUUGUUUGUAUGACUUAAACAUUAAGAUUUGAUUUAUUGUUGUUUUUUUUCAAAUCGGCAAGAUCUAUCUAAUUUGACCUGUUUUGAUGUAUUUAUGUUUCCGAUGAAUUAUCUGUACUAUUUAUCAACUAAGGCUUGUAUCACAAUAUGAAUUUUUCCGGAUGGCCUGAAAUCAAAAGUUUAUAUAACAAAUAGUGUAUCAGUAUAGAUAUUAUUAAAAAAAAAGUAUAAUUUUGUACACACGCUUGACAACAGGGAAAUGAAAGAUACGAAGUCAAAGGAUAAUAAGUUUCAGCUAUACGAAUCAAUGAAGACGCCUGUAAAAGGUAAGAUAAUCAUCAGUGUUUGUCAACAAGUGAUUUCCUGUCAGUACAAUUCCAAUUAAGCAUUUUGAACAUGUAUUGGUCAACUAUCAUAUUUGAUCAAAUUUUAUUUAAUUCUAAUAAAUACUGAUAUUUCAGACUUGACAUUUUGUUUUAAUUCAAGAUAAUACUAUCUUACUGGAAACAAAAUAUAUAGUAUAAGACAAAAGUCAAAAUAUAUGACUGUUUUCCAUAUUUUUCAUUUCUUCUAAAAUAAAAGAAUCAGAUCAAUUUUUAUUUAAGAAUUGAAUGCUUCUUUUUGUUAAUUCAUUUUGGUAUAAAAGCACUGACCGAAGUACAUUUUGCUUCAUUCUAAAAAUGUGCGCACGGUCAGCGCUUUUACAACCAUGUGAAAUCACAUAAAGAAACAUCAAAUGCUUAAAAUUACAGUUUUAAACUAGGAUCAUCAAACCACGGUUUCUAUCAUGGUUCUCUUUAAUUUACCUGUGCACAGUAUUGGUGAAGCUUGUGUCAUCAUGACUCCCAAGGGUGACUGGGGAAUAGAAAUAUGGUCACUUGGUCUUCACCCGACCGGCAGUAAAACGCUUGCCGAAGUGGAGCGUCCGUUUGGAUGUGCGGCAUGUAUCAAGUUCGCAGUCACGUCCGCUCAGAAGGGGGACGUGAAAUCCGAUGCCUCUGGUAAAGAGAGUGCCACGCUCUUUACACGUUAAGAACCCUUGCAACAACUCUUAGAGGGGUCCGUAGGUGGCCUGUUGCAAGGCAACAUUUCUGUCCCUAUCCAAUAUACCCUCAUUUUCAAGUGGCAGUCCAAAUUUCCCCGACCAUUAUCACAGAUGGCCUCUAUUGUAUCAACCUACCUAUUGUAUUUAUUGUGAACUUGUUCUCGUCCUGAAUAUGCUUGAAAAUUUGCCACAGGACAUUAAGCAACCAACAAUCAAUCAAUCGUGUCAUCAUGAAUGUUGAAUGUCACUGUGUAAUGAAUGUUCAUUGCAAAAGGAUGAGAGAUUGCCGAUAGCCGAUCAAAAUUUCGUAUUAUAGUGAAACAUACAUGCAAUGUAAUUAUUGAUAAUACAUUUUGGCUAUAAUAUUCAUAAUGAACAUUAAAAUAAAAAUAUCAAAUAAUCUAGCUACUUUAUAAUAUUUAUCCCCCCCUUUUUUUUUUUAGAAAAUACUUCAAAGUUAGACCAAAGCAGGUUAGUAUGUUUACAACAGUCCUAACCUAAUCAAAGUAUCUAACAAACAGAUAUUUCAACAUGUUCAAAUUUACAAAAAGUAAGUUUACAAACUGAACAAACUUUCCAGAAAACAGCUAUCAAUCGCUUCAAAAUAUUCCAUACAUGUACAUGUAGUUAUAUUCGUCAGACAAGCGUUUUGGUUGGAUAUUACUCAUUGGUGUCGCUCAUAUAAACAAAAACAAAGUGUGAAUCAUUGAAAUCUACCACCUUAAAACAUUUGCAAAAUCUUCGUUUAUCCAUAUAUGUAGGAUGUUAAAUGAAGCUAAAGGUUUCGAAUUUUUGGAUUAUGUAUGAACAUUACAAACAAAAGUAUCAUAUGGUACAUGUGGUAACUAUGCAUUCAGAACUGUGGAUUUCAAUUUGAACGAAACGAUCAUUAGUUACGAUACAGUUGUUGAAUUUAUUCAUCAAAGAAUAAAGUCUUUUAAUAUUUCAACGGUUCACGAAAAAGGGGAUAUUUCUUGUAUAAAGAUAAGGAUGUUAUAAAAUCAGAAUGUAUAUAACAAAUAGAGUAUUGAUAUAGAUAUAUUCUUUGAACAUUGUAAAAGAGGAACGAAAGAUACCAAAGGGACAGUCAAACUCAUAAAUCUAAAACAAACUGACAACGCCAUGGCUAAAAAUGAAAAAGACAAACAAAUAACAGCACACAUGACACAACAUAGAAAACUAAAGAAUAAACAACACCAACCACAAGUGAACGUAAGUGAACGUAUACUAUUGUAUAUAUGCUUAGUAACAGGAAAAUAAAAGAUGAGAAAUUGAAAGAUAACAGUACUCAGCUAUACGAAUCGAUGAAGACGCCACCACAAGGUCAGAUUAUCUAGGUGUUUGACAAUAAAAUAUUCCCAGUCACUACAAUACCCAAUUAAGAAUUUUAGAACUCAAAGAUCAUUUUCAAAGACAUGAAAGAACAACCUUUUCAAAAAAGACAUAACAACAUUUAAUUAUGUUGUGAAUACUGUGUAUAUGGUAGUAUAUACAAUAGAGUGAUGUUAAUGAAGAACAAAUAAUGAGGUAUAAUUAAAAUUUUGCAUAGGUUCAUAUUAGUCGAGUUGACUGAAGUGAAAAUCACACAAUCUCAUGAUGACUUUUUUAAACAUUGCCAUGAAACUGCCGCUAGAAUAUGUUCUAUUAUGCAUUUAAAAAACAGACGAACAUCGUAUAAUGACGAUUGAAUAACUAAAGUUGAUAUAUAUUGGGACUAAUGAGUUAACCAACACCCUAAAAAUCAAACCACCGAUAUGGAACAAAGAAUUAAAUUGAAUGCACAUUUUUGCAUACAUGUAGUUCUAUGCCUAUUGCAGGUACAUUAGACUUUCUUUCUAUAUUAUACCUGUGUUCAUGUUUUCUAUAGGCAAAUACUUCACUCAUACAUUUUGGGACAACGGAAAGUAAAAUCACAAAAAUUCUGAACUCCAAGAAAAAUUCAAAACGGAAAGUCCCUAUUAAAAUUGCAAAAUCAAUAGCCCAAAUAUAUCAAACGAAUCGAUAACAAAUAUCAUAUUCCUGACUUGGUAAAGGCAUUUUUUAAAAUAAAAAAAUGGUGUAUUGAACCUGGUUUUAAAACUAACUAAACCUCUCAGUUGUAUGGCAGUCGCAAAAAUUCCAUUAUAUUGACAAUGAUGUGUGAACAUAACAAACAGACUGGGUAAAAAAUGUCAAAAUUAAUGGUACCACUGUCAACAUUGUGGUAUAAUCUUAAUCACUAUAAAACAAACAAACACACAAAAACAUUAGUUCAUAAGUAUAUCUCGCUUAUCGUUUUCUAUAUAGAUUAGAUUGUUGGUUUUCCUGUUUAAAUGGUUUUACACUAGUAUUAUUUGAGGUCCUUUAUAGCUUGAUGCUCAGUGUGAGCUAAAACUCCGUGUUAAAGACUAUAAUUUGACCUAUACUGGAUUAUUUUAGUAAUUGGGACUUGGAUGGAGAGUUGUCUCAUUGGCACUCAUACCGCAUCUUCUUAUAUCUAUACAGAAAAAGCACAUUAGCAAACGUUUACAACAGCAACUCUAAUAGUAAAAAAAUUAACAGUUAAGUAGGAAUACUAUUUACUAUAAUAUUUUGUUCUGCUGAUCGUUAACUAUUGCCUAUUCUUAAUGAAUAUAUUCAUUCCCUUUAUUUCAGAGGCUAACAAAUCCACGAAAAACGAAAGUGAAGACAUGUAUUCAAGUGUUAUAUAGACUUAAAUCAAAUCACUUUAGUUCCUAUUAUAUUUAAGCCUGAUAUUAUUCUCGAGUCUCAUUUAUCAAUCAUACAUCAACGAUUCAUUAAUUCGGGCUUUUUGCAUGUAUCAUCGUCAACAAUUCUUCAACUAACAAGCAAACAUUAUUUUUUAUAGUUCGUUCUUAUGUUGAACUGUUAUACCACUGUCCCAGGUUAGGGGGAGGGUUGGGAUCCCGCUAACAUUUUUAACCCCACCACAUUAUUAAUGUAUGUGCCUGUCCCAAGUCAGGAGCCUGUAAUUCAGUGGUUGUCGUUUGCUUAUGUGUUACAUAUUUGUUUUUCUUCCCUUUUUUUACAUAAAUAAGUUAGUUUUCUCGUUUGAAUUGUUUUGCAUUGUCUUAUCGGGGCUUUUUAUAGCUGACUAUGCGGUAUGGGCUUUGUUCAUUGUUGAAGGCCGUACGGUGACUUAUAGUUGUUAAUGUCUGUGUCAUUUUGGUCUUUUGUGGAUAGUUGUCUCAUUGGCAAUAAUACCACAUCUUCCUUUUUAUAUUAAUUUGUAUUAGAGUUUGCCAAUCCUCCCAUAAAAGGCUGAUUAUAUCUACAUGUAUCGUCUUAUCAUGUACUUAUAUGGGUAUCAUAGUGUAUCUACUAAGCUAGCUAAUCAAACAUUUAUAUUUAAUUUACAAUACUAAACAAAG
rnacentral:lncRNA from 1 species